AAAACCUUAAGUUAAAUAAACUAUUAACCUUCAAAGUUAAAUAUACAUUAUAUUUAUGUAGGUUUUA
rnacentral:tRNA from 1 species